UUAAGCUAAUAAGAGCGCAGGGAGGAUGCCUUGGCAUCAGGAGCCGAUGAAGGACGCGGUAAGCUGCGAAAAGCUCCGGGGAGUGGCAAGCACACAUUGAUCCGGAGAUGUCCGAAUGGAGCAAUCCACAUGAGUGAAGCUCAUGUAUCAUAUACUGAAUAAAUAGGUAUAUGAGGGGAACCGUCUGAACUGAAACAUCUAAGUAGGACGAGGAAAAGAAAUCAACCGAGAUUCCGCUAGUAGUGGCGAGCGAACGCGGAAGAGGCUAAACCAGAGUCAGCAAUGACUUUGGGGUUUGGACUGCAUUUAGUAUCAAUGAGGUCUAGUCGAAGUACAUGGGAAGGUACAUCGAAGAGGGUGAGAAUCCCGUAGACGAAAGAUCAAGUUGGCGAGCAGUAUCCAGAGUACCGCCGGACACGUGAAACCCGGUGGGAACAUGGGGGGACCAUCCUCCAAGCCUAAAUACUACCUGAUGACCGAUAGCGCAUAGUACUGUGAAGGAAAGGUGAAAAGAACCCCGGGAGGGGAGUGAAAGAGAGCCUGAAACCCUGUGCUUACAAGCACACAGAGCACGUCAAAGUGUGAUGUGGUACCUAUUGUAGAAUGGUCCGGCGAGUUAUUUUAUGCAGCGAGGUUAAGGACUUAAGGUCUGUAGCCGAAGUGAAAGCGAGUGUUAAUAGCACGAAACAGUUGCAUGCAAUAGACCCGAAACCGGGUGACCUAUCCAUGUCCAGGCUGAAGUGAGGGUAAAACCUCAUGGAGGGCCGAACCGACUCCCGUUGAAAUGGUAGCGGAUGAGGUGUGGAUAGCGGAGAAAUUCCAAUCGAACCCGGAUAUAGCUGGUUCUCCCCGAAACCGUUUUAGGACGGGCCUCGUGUGAAGAUUAUCGGAGGUAAAGCACUGAAUAGCCUAGGGGGCGAGAGCCUACCGAAGCUUAUCAAACUCUGAAUGCCGAAUAAUCGUUUCACGGGAGUCAGACUGUGUGAGAUAAGUUUCAUAGUCAAAAGGGAAACAGCCCAGACCCACAGCUAAGGUCCCAAAGUGUAUUUAAGUGGAAAACGAUGUGAAGUUGCGUAGACAACCAGGAUGUUGGCUUAGAAGCAGCCACUCAUUAAAAGAGUGCGUAAUAGCUCACUGGUCGAGUGACUUUGCGCGGAAAAUUUAACGGGGCUAAAAUACACACCGAAGCUUGGGCUUGACGCUUUUGCGUCAGGGGUAGGGGAGCGUCGUGUAAGGGGCGAAGUCGUAUCGUAAGGGACGGUGGACUUUACACGAGUGAGAAUGCCGGAAUGAGUAGCGAGAAUUAUGUGAGAAUCAUAAUGGUCGAAAGCCUAAGGUUUUUGGAGGAAGGUUCGUCCGCUCCAAGUAAGCCGGGAGCUAAGGUCAGGCGGAAACGCGUAGCCGAUGCACAUACGGUUGAAAUUCCGUAGCCUCAGAAAGAUUUAAGCGAAGGGACACUUUGAAAGGACUGUUGCCGGGUGUUGGUUACCCCGGUCGUAAGGGAACGAAAUUAAGUAGUGAAGGCAGUCUGGACGGAGGCGAGAAAAGCUUCGUGUAUAUCUUAUGAGCCCGUACCGCAAACCGACACAGGUAGGUGGGAUGAGAAUUCUAAGACCAACGGGAGAAGGGUAGUUAAGGAACUCGGCAAAUUGUCCCCGUAACUUCGGAAUAAGGGGAGCCUGCGAAAGUAGGCCGCAGAGAAUUGGCCCAGGCGACUGUUUAUCAAAAACACAGCUCUAUGCUAAAUCGAAAGAUGACGUAUAUGGGGUGACACCUGCCCGGUGCUGGAAGGUUAAGAGGAGAUGUGAGAGCAUCGAAUUGAAGCCCCAGUAAACGGCGGCCGUAACUAUAACGGUCCUAAGGUAGCGAAAUUCCUUGUCAGGUAAGUUCUGACCCGCACGAAUGG
rnacentral:rRNA from 1 species